CUUAAAGAACUAAUGGAGAAGGAUGUUGGUGUGGAUAUAAUGCCGCCAUCGUUUGUCAAUGGUCAAUUGAAAUGUAAAAUGAGGAAGGAGAAAAUCAAUGCUGCUAAGUUGCGGAUAAAACGAAUUAUGCAUCCAGUAGAUGCUAAUCUAGGUGAUGUUUCUGUCCCUUUACAUAGCUCUUGUCCUGAAAGAAGGAGGAAGAGAAAAGGAAUGGUAGUGGACGAUGUUGAUUGGGAAGACCUCAUUAUUGAGACCCUUGUUCUUCAUCAAGUAAAAGAUGAAGAAAUUGAGAAGGGGCAUUACAAUACCUUACUGGAUCUACAUGUGUUCAACUCUGGCAUUGUAUGAGAGGUUCAGAUAUAGAGGCAUUCUGUGAGAAAUUUCAGAUAAAUUUAUCGUAAUUGUCAGUUAACAUUUUGUCCAAGACAACCAUCUAGAGCAGAUUUUUUGUUGCUGCAAGUUUUGUACGAACAUCUUUUUUUGUAUGAAUGAUGAUGGCAAUUUUGUUUGUUACCUUUUAACAAUUCAGGGACCUUAAUGUACAUACAUGAUAUCAGGAUACAAUGAUGAUUCUAUAUUCAUCUUAUUUUGGUUCUGCUUUUACUAUAUUGCUGUUCAAAUUUUAGUUACAGCUUGUUUUUGGUGAUGAUAGAGUUUUGGAAUAUUCAUUUUUAACCAAUUGUAGGGUUUGGGAAGAUUUGUUUUUAAGCUGGUCUGUUUAUCAGUGGCUGUGACCGUAAAUGCUUGUGGUUCCCACGAAUUUGGAAUGAUUGUCCGAAACUGUAGCUACAUAUAUCUAUAUAAGGAAAAAGAAGGAGUCACAUGGAGACAAAUGGUAGUCUCUCUUCUCGACCUCCUUUAUGCUCCAUUAAAAUUUUGUUUUACUUGUUGAACUGGUUGUCCUUGCUGCAUCCAUUGUGAGCAAAUAUGGAAAAGGUGAGUUCUGUGUGGCCCUCAACUUAAGUCCUUGAUCUUUUUCUUUGAAAGAAUAGUUGACUUUUUUUUUAGUAAUCUGAACUUGAAACACAGGCUAUAUGGUUUUAGGAACUAGAAGGUAUAAAUUCCUAUAGGGCUAAUCGCUUUCCAGAAGUAUAUAUAUUAGUUUGAUAUGUGGGAAUCUACUGUCAAUACAUCUUUUGAUUUAGUUUGUGGUUCCUGAUAUUGAGAUAACCAAGUAACUGAUAUAUGUUGUAUACUCCUAUUUUAAAUUUAUGAUACAUGAUCUGUCAUUUUUAGUCUGUUUUCUUUUAUAUGGAGUUAAGAAAUCCUUUCCUACUUAAUAACUCAAUCUGUUAGUUGUGUAUGUAUCUCAAAUAUUGUAUCUUAUCAAUUGGCCCGUUACUAACUAUUGUCAAAUUCAAUAUUAGUUUUUAGUUUGUGUGAGACCCCUAACUAUUAUAAUAUAUUUUUCUCUUCUCUGCAUAACUCAAUAAACGUUUCUAGUUGUAUGAUAGUUAACAGGUGUUUUAGUGUUAAGUGUAUGAGUUUAGUAAUUUUAGUCGGUCUAUGAGAAUAUCAUAAUAUGCACCGGUAUUUUUUUAAUAAUUUGUUAAGACAGAAUAUGUAUCUACUACAGUAUAAAAUUUAUACUGUCUAUGAUUUUAAUACAGUA